rnacentral:misc_RNA from 1 species
AACGCACGAGACCUGCGGACCUGCGGAGGGAUCAUUACCGAGUGCGGGCCCUCUGGGUCCAACCUCCCACCCGUGUCUAUUGUACCUUGUUGCUUCGGCGGGCCCGCCAUUCUGGCCGCCGGGGGGCUUGCCCCCGGGCCCGCGCCCGCCGAAGACACCCUCGAACUCUGUCUGAAGAUUGUAGUCUGAGUGGAAUUAUAAAUUAUUAAAACUUUCAGCAAUGGAUCUCUAGAUCGGAAG